rnacentral:rRNA from 1 species
UGCGUAGGUGGCAAGCGUUGUCCGGAUUUACUGGGCGUAAAGGGUGCGCAGGCGGAUAUUUAAGUGGGAUGUGAAAUCCCCGGGCUUAACCUGGGGGCUGCAUUCCAAACUGGAUAUCUAGAGUGCAGGAGAGGAGAAUGGAAUUCCUAGUGUAGCGGUGAAAUGCGUAGAGAUUAGGAAGAACACCAGUGGCGAAGGCGAUUCUCUGGACUGUAACUGACGCUGAGGCACGAAAGCGUGGGUAGCAAACAGG